GAAUUUGAGAGAAAGCGAAACAGGCCCGAGAGGUACGACAGAAAUGUUACUGAGAAUACACUCAAGGCCAUCAAGAAGAUCGUUAAGGUCAGAGAGGAUAGGGCGGCCAAACACCACGAGAAGAGGAUGAAGGGUAAGAAGGCCAAGGAGGAGAAAGAAGCAAAGGCAGAGAUCAGUAUGAGCAUUAACUUGGUGAGAGCACCCGCUAGCCUGCGACAAGAGCAACCGAAGAUCAAAGUCUCAGUUUCCCAGUCUCAAGCUGAGGGGCCGAUGGAGGAAUGAAUGCUGUCCUGCUAGGAAUUAAGUUUUGGAUGAUUUGACUCCAACUUGCUAAAAGCACUUGUUACCUGCCGUUUUGUCUGUUAUGUUUGACCUAUUUUGUUACUGAAUCCCAUGUGAUAU
rnacentral:misc_RNA from 1 species